AACGCGAAGAACCUUACCAGGUCUUGACAUCUGGGUGAAACGUGCAGAGAUGUGCGCCCUCUUCGGAGCACCCAAGACAGGUGGUGCAUGGUUGUCGUCAGCUCGUGUCGUGAGAUGUUGGGUUAAGUCCCGCAACGAGCGCAACCCUUAGGUCUAGUUGCCAGCAUUGAGUUGGGCACUCUAGAGCGACUGCCGGUGACAAACCGGAGGAAGGUGGGGAUGACGUCAAAUCAUCAUGCCCCUUAUGACCUGGGCUACACACGUACUACAAUGGCCGGUACAACGGGAAGCGAAGUCGCGAGAUGGAGCGAAUCCUAGAAAGCCGGUCUCAGUUCGGAUUGCAGGCUGCAACUCGCCUGCAUGAAGUCGGAAUUGCUAGUAAUCGCGGAUCAGCAUGCCGCGGUGAAUACGUUCCCGGGCCUUGUACACACCGCGAGC
rnacentral:rRNA from 1 species